rnacentral:misc_RNA from 1 species
AAGUCGUAACAAGGUUUCCGUAGGUGAACCUGCGGAAGGAUCAUUAUGAAUCAGUAGCUUGCUACUGCGCUGGGGGAGAUGGGAAAGUCCUGGCUGAAAAGUUAGUGUACCGGUACCUGCACCCCUAUCAUACCCUUGUCUUUUGAGCACUUAUGUUUCCUUGGUGGGCUUGCCUGCCGAUAGGACAACUUUUAAACCUUUUAAUAUAUCAAUCAGCGUCUGAAAAAUAAUUAAUAAUUACAACUUUCAACAACGGAUCUCUUGGUUCUG